AGUUUCUCCCUAUCCCACCCGUGCUCCUCAUAUAAAUGUAUUACAUUAUUUUAAUAUUGUUAUUUAUAAUGUCUCCUUUUAGAAAACCGAGAAACAUCUAAAAAUCGGAAGAGUCAUUGGAGAGGGUCCAUUUUGUCGAGUUCAUCUGGGAUGGCAUAUUGACCUACAAAAAGAAGUGGCCAUAAAGAUCAUCAAUGACCCGGAGGUAAUGA